AUUGAACGCUGGCGGCAUGCCUUACACAUGCAAGUCGAACGGUAGAGGGGGCAACCCCUUGAGAGUGGCGAACGGGUGAGUAAUGCAUCGGAACGUGCCCAGUUGUGGGGGAUAACGUAGCGAAAGCUACGCUAAUACCGCAUACGACCUGAGGGUGAAAGCGGGGGACUCGAAAGAGCCUCGCGCGAUUGGAGCGGCCGAUGUCAGAUUAGCUAGUUGGUGGGGUAAAGGCCCACCAAGGCGACGAUCUGUAGCUGGUCUGAGAGGACGACCAGCCACACUGGGACUGAGACACGGCCCAGACUCCUACGGGAGGCAGCAGUGGGGAAUUUUGGACAAUGGACGAAAGUCUGAUCCAGCCAUGCCGCGUGCGGGAAGAAGGCCUUCGGGUUGUAAACCGCUUUUGUCAGGGAAGAAAUCUUCUGGGUUAAUACCUCGGGAGGAUGACGGUACCUGAAGAAUAAGCACCGGCUAACUACGUGCCAGCAGCCGCGGUAAAAC
rnacentral:rRNA from 1 species